UUUUUUUUUUUGUAUAACAUGAGCAGAUACUAACAGUGCAGAUACCAACAGUGUAAAUGAAGUAAAUAGCAAAAUUGUACAUGAAGCAGAUAUUAAAAGUGUACAUGAAGCAGAUAGCAAAAAUGGUAAUCAGGAAGAUAUUGAAAAUAAGUGUGUCGAUUGCAAAUGUGUAGAUGAUUUAUUUGAACUAACAUCUUCAAUAUCAACGGAUUCAUGUCAUCAUAAAGUUUGUUUGGCGUGUUAUAAUAAGCACAAAGAAGCAAAUACAAAAUUUUGUCCAGUGUGUAAUAUAUUUUUAUUGGCAUAUAGACUUGUUUAAUAAUAAUUAUAUAAAACAAUAAU